GACGAACGCUGGCGGCGUGCCUAAUACAUGCAAGUAGAACGCUGAAGAGAGGAGCUUACUCUUCUUGGAUGAGUUGCGAACGGGUGAGUAACGCGUAGGUAACCUGCCUUGUAGCGGGGGAUAACUAUUGGAAACGAUAGCUAAUACCGCAUAACAAUGGAUGACACAUGUCAUUUAUUUGAAAGGGGCAAUUGCUCCACUACAAGAUGGACCUGCGUUGUAUUAGCUAGUAGGUGAGGUAAUGGCUCACCUAGGCGACGAUACAUAGCCGACCUGAGAGGGUGAUCGGCCACACUGGGCCUGGGACACGGCCCAGACUCCUACGGGAGGCAGCAGUAGGGAAUCUUCGGCAAUGGGGGCAACCCUGACCGAGCAACGCCGCGUGAGUGCAGAAGGUUUUCGGAUCGUAAAGCUCUGUUGUAAGUCAAGAACGGGUGUGAGAGUGGAAAGUUCACACUGUGACGGUAGCUUACCAGAAAGGGACGGCUAACUACGUG
rnacentral:rRNA from 1 species